UGGAGAGGGUGAGGCGCGAGUCAGUGGGGAGCGUUGUUCCUUUGGGGAAGUAGCGACUCUGAUUGACAGAUAAUUUGACCUUCGCUUGCAGGUGGUAGACAGCUGCACGCGGACUGAAUCAAUAAUUAACCGCGAGACCAGCCGCUCCCACCCCUGACAAAACCCAUUUCACAUCUCCACCGGUCUUUGUGCAGCUGUACUGGUACAAUAGAACAAAUCACAGGGCUGGAAUGGGCUAGGAAACGGCUGUGGUCUUAUCGUCUCCGCACCUGCACUUCUAAAAACCACGGCGGAGGUCCCUCAUGACAAUAAUGGCAGAACAGAUCAGCUCCUGGCAAAAGAAAUCCUCAUUAUUUGUGGGGAAAAUUAGAUGAAUGUGGCACUGGUGAAUCCUUGAGCAGAUAUCGAACCUAGUAGGAGGCUCUCCUCGUGGCCAAUUCCAAAUGAAGUGCAGUCACUGACGGUUGGCUGGAGGGGGACUGAGCAAUGGUGAAGAUCGCGUUUUUUGACGGUUGGCUGUAGGGUGGCCUUUGCUGUGUUUGAUCGCAGUUGGAGCUCUCGAGCACGAUGAGGAAGACCGCUGUGGUCCAUCUGGCCUGGUCUUUAAUCAGUGCUUCCCUUCAGAGAGGGGGCCACACUUUCACUGUGCUGACCAGGCCAGCUUUUGCUUAGACGAGCAACCACAAGAUGAAUGUAGCUUAUUCUUUAUAUUAUUCACCACUCUACAACAGUGAAUAUCUAUAGUGGAUUUCAGUUGGUUUUAAGUUAUAGAAGUAAGAAAAAAAAGUUGGCAUAUCUUUGAUCAGAUUUGUCAUACCCAUGGAAAAAUAGCUUCUUAACUAUAUAUCUUACACUGUUUAAAUGAUGCACACACACACACACACACACACACACACACACACACACAAUUAUUUAUACUCAAUAGGUCAGUUUUGUAACUCCAGUCCCCUCAAAUGCUAAACUAAAAUUGUACCACUAGACUAACAAAUCUACAUGUCUUUGAUAUUCAUGAUAAAUGGCAAUCAUAUAGUAAUUUUUCAAAGCUGUGCAGACUGAAUUUGAUUCUGAGCAACUACUAUGAGUUAUCUGAAAAAAGUAAGUCAUUUUUAGCUCAUUGAUAUUGAAUGUACAACUCAUAUCUCUGGGGUAAAAUUGAACAGAAAUGUGCCAUCGAUCUCUCUUUCUUCCUUUUCUCGUUCCCCCUGAUUCCCCCACCUAUCUUUCCUUGUUUGUAGACACUCCAUCACCUUGUCUUUCUGAGCCCUGGGAAAAGCUUCGUCAGUAUUUUUGCACCACUCCCCUCCAUCCAUGCUGCCUUUCUCCCAGAAUUCAUGGUGCCUUAGUCAGAGCAGAAGAGAGCAAGACGAGAGAAAGGAAAAGAUUCAGAAAGAGAAAAAGAUACAAGAGCCGCUAGCUGUAGACAGAAGGAAUGCCUUAAGAAGCAAUUAGCAUAUGUAACUUCUUUCCCCCCUCUGCCUGAAACGGGGUUAUUUCAGUGAGUUUGUAUUGAUGUUUUUGAACAGGCUCCAUGGCAGAGCAUUUAAUGCUGAACACUGCUGUUAGAGAGAAUGCAUUAUUAAUGUGAGGGGAAACUAACGGGGACCAGCAGCUCCUCGGGGCUGUGAAGAGGACGGUUGGCGUCUCUGAGGAAGCAACACCACGCCUCAAAGGUCUUCCUCAGUAAUGCACACAUGCCAGGCAUCUAUCAUUUAUUCAUGACAGUCAGGCGCCUCCAACUCCCUCGAACAAUUAACGAAUCAAUGAAAUGUAUGGGCUCAGAAACUAUCAA